AGGCAUGUUAUGGCCAUCGCUGCUCUUUUUGUGGAGUGAGCAUAAACUAACAUGCUAGAUGAAAACAAAAAUGCAGUUACUGUGUUUGGGAGUUAACAGGGCCACCAGUCUUUCAAGGACAGACUGAGUUGGUAGUAUAAUACUCCAACAUAU